GAGUUUGAUCGUGGCUCAGAUUGAACGCUGGCGGCAUGCCUUACACAUGCAAGUCGAGCGGCAGCGCGGGGGCAACCCUGGCGGCGAGCGGCGUACGGGUGAGUAAUGCAUCGGAACGUGUCCUCUUGUGGGGGAGUAACCAGUCGAAAGACUGGCUAAUACCGCAUGAGAUCGCAAGAUGAAGCAGGGACCCGCAAGGGCCUUGCGCGAGAGGAGCGGCCGAUGCCCGAUUAGCUAGUUGGCGGGGUAACGGCCCACCAAGGCGACGAUCGGUAGCUGGUCUGAGAGGACGACCAGCCACACUGGGACUGAGACACGGCCCAGACUCCUACGGGAGGCAGCAGUGGGGAAUUUUGGACAAUGGGGGCAACCCUGAUCCAGCCAUGCCGCGUGUGUGAAGAAGGCCUUCGGUUGU
rnacentral:rRNA from 1 species